UACGUAGGGACCAAGCGUUGUUCGGAUUUACUGGGCGUAAAGGGCGCGUAGGCGGCAAUUCAAGUCAGUUGUGAAAUCUCCGAGCUUAACUCGGAACGGUCAACUGAUACUGUCUUGCUAGAGUACAGAAGGGGCAAUCGGAAUUCUUGGUGUAGCGGUGAAAUGCGUAGAUAUCAAGAGGAACACCUGAGGUGAAGACGGGUUGCUGGGCUGAUACUGACGCUGAGACACGAAAGCGUGGGUAGCAAACAGG
rnacentral:rRNA from 1 species